rnacentral:misc_RNA from 1 species
GGAAGGAUCAUUAAAACGUAUCCAAACGUAAAAAACCCCCCCGUGAACUUUCAACCCUGCUCCUUCGCCUCUGUGAGUCAGCAAUCCCUGGUAAAUCAUUUGGAGAAAAGCUUUUGAUUCAGGGACUACUGAGAUUCCUACCUCGCGUCGUAUAGAUUGGUAUCCAACCCAACGUAGCGGUAGAUUCAUUGCGACUUGUUUUCCCCAAGCAGUUAUUGAAUGAAAGUGUCAUUAAUUGUGCAAGGAGAACGCUUUACGGCUGCUGGAGUCCGAACACCGGACGGCGGACAAGUCCCACGCCUUAACCGGCCCUAAUAACCCCGUUUGUUCCGCGGCGUAGCUUGGACUAACGUUCAAGAAAGCGCACCCAAAAAACUUAUACGACUGUUAACAAUGGAUAUCUUGGUUCUCACAACGAUGAAGAACGCAGCGAAAUGCGAUACGUAAUGCGAAUUGCAGAAUUCAGUGAAUCAUCGAAUCUUUGAACGCAAAUCGCGCUCUCGGGUUACCCCCAAGAGCACACCUCUCUGAGUGUCGGUUUAACCAAAUGUCACCAAUUUAUUGGUGUACGACUUUUCUGAGGGUAAGGAGUCUCGGCUUCUUUCCCUUUAAAUCUCAGCCGCACGACUGUGUGUGUUCGUGGCAAGUUGGUUUCGCUUAAUUGUGAAUUCAAUCCACCAACCCUACGUUGUGUAGCCCCAAUGAAACAACUAAACACUGUCAGUGAAGUUAGGAACGCGUUUUCUGAAGGUCCGUGGUAUGCCCAGGCAUGUGAACAAAGUGUUCUGAAAGUGUUCUCUUUGGUUGCAGCCGAAGCGCAUCAACCUGGUCGGAGUUUUACUUUUGUAGCAACCAGAAGGAAAAACAAAUGCAAUGGUCACGGAGUUGUGAAAGUGUUCUCCUGGAUCAAUGCAGAAGUUUCUCGUUUGAUCGUUAUGAACGUUCGACACUGAACGGGAAGGUAUGCUGAAGCAAAUGCAUUAAGUAACCCAGUCAUCAGUUAGCGGUGGUCUUAAUGGAACCGCUUUGUGAAAAUUAUGAAUUAGACCUCAGAUGAAGUGGGAAGACCCCCUGAAUUUAAGCAUAUUAUUAAGGGGAGGAAAAGAAACUAACAAGGAUUCCCCUAGUAACGGCGAGUGAAGCGGGAAGAGCUCAAAUUUAAAAUCCGCUGGUCUAACAGCCUGUGGAGUUGUAAUCUAGAGAGGCUCUCUCAGUGCCAGCCUGGUUAUAAGUCCCUUGAAACGGGGCAUCAAAGAGGGUGAGAAUCCCGUAUUUGAGCCGGAGCUAAGUACGUACGAGGAGUUUUCUAAGAGUCGCGUUGCUUGGGAGUGCAGCGCUAAUUGGGUGGUAAAGUUCAUCUAAAGCUAAAUACUGGCGAGAGACCGAUAGCGAACAAGUACCGUGAGGGAAAGAUGAAAAGAACUUUGAAAAGAGAGUUAAAAAGUACUUGAAAUUGUUAACAGGGAAGGGGAGGCUUACCAGUUAUUUCUAAGCUUCAUUCGCUUCUCCUUCGGGAGGGGUUACUUGAGGCUAAGAAGAGUCAGCAUCACCUAGAGACUUCGCAGAAAUUGAGUGAGUUGGUGCGUUUCUUCGGAUUCGUUUAACUCAUUCUAUCUACGUUUGACUCUGGGUGAGGAAUUGAAAACCCCCCACCUUCGGGUGUCGGAACUCUAUUGCCUGUUUCACCUAGUGCUUGAGAGAACAAAGUUCUGUCGGCUCGAAAGUGAAAUACUGCAGUGGAUGUUCCAGAUGGAUGGGUUCGCGAUGCAGACGAAAUGGUAGUCUUCCACCCGUCUUGAAACACGGACCAAGGAGUCUAACAUAUAUGCGAGUAUUUGGGUGACAAACCCUGAUGCGUAAUGAAAGUAAAGAGCCGAAAGGCUUGAGGUAGGAAUCUCACCCUCGGGUGGGAGGCACUAUCGACCGAUCGUUCGCUUGCGAAAGAUUUGAGUAAUAGCAUAUCUGUUGGGACCCGAAAGAUGGUGAUCUAUGCCUGAACAGGGUGAAGCCAGGGGAAACUCUGGUGGAAGCUCGUAGCGAUACUGACGUGCAAAUCGUUCGUCUGAUUUGGGUAUAGGGGCGAAAGACUAAUCGAACCAUCUAGUAGCUGGUUCCCUC